AGAGGGGAGAGUUUGAAAAAAUGACAGUUAAAAAUCAGUUAGGGUUUAGGUUCAGAGGAGUGAGGAGUUAGGAGUUGGGAGAGAAGGAAAGGAAAGGUGGCGGAGUGACUUGUGAAGCAAAGCUUUGAGGCUUUGAAAAGCUGGGUUUGGCUAUUGGAAGUUUCUCAGACUAGUGCAGCUGAAUGGUGAAACAGAGCUGGUAUUCUUUUAGUCUAAGGAGAGGCUAAAGAAUAGUUUACUUAGUAUUUGAUCUAGGGGGGAUCAAACAAGGGAAACAUCCCUGUAUUGAAACUUUGUCUGAAACAAGUGCUCUACGUCAGAAAGAUACUGUGUUACUUGAAAGAAUGAACUGUUAAAGUUACAAGUAUUAUUCCAAGUGCAACAAGGAAAAGUUACGUCUUGCAACCACACGCUGUGUACUUAAUAAAAUUGUUAACUUUUAUUUGAA